GCCGGACAGUAUACACAGGGACAGCUGUUAAGGGUUGAGGGGACGACGGAAAAAUGAAGACAAUACUCUCAUCUGAGACUAUGGACAUCCCCGAUGGGGUUAAGAUCAAGAUCAACGCCAAGGUCAUAGAGGUGGAGGGUCCUCGAGGCAAGCUCACACGCAAUUUCAAGCAUUUGAACCUCGAUUUCCAUCUCAUCAAGGACGAAGCCACUGGAAAACGUAAACUCAAGAUCGAAGCUUGGUUCGGCUCUAGGAAGACCAGCGCCGCUAUCCGCACCGCCCUUAGCCACGUUGAGAAUCUCAUCACGGGCGUCACCAAAGGGUACCGCUACAAGAUGCGAUUUGUCUACGCCCACUUCCCUAUCAACGCCUCCAUCACUAACUCCAACACUGCCAUUGAGAUUCGGAACUUCCUUGGCGAGAAGAGGGUCAGGAAAGUGGAUAUGCUUGAAGGUGUAACUGUUGUUCGGUCUGACAAAGUUAAAGAUGAGCUUGUAUUGGAUGGGAAUGACAUUGAAUUAGUGUCACGGUCCGCUGCCUUGAUAAACCAGAAAUGCCAUGUUAAGAACAAAGAUAUCAGGAAAUUCCUUGAUGGUAUCUAUGUCAGUGAGAAAGGGACUGUUGUUGAAGAAGAUUGAGAAAUAUAGAUUUGGUAUUCUAUAUCAUAUUUACCUUUGUUUUCCCAGGUUAUGAGGAUAUCUUUUUGUUUUUGGUUAUUAUUCAGAAAAUUUUCUAUUGCAAAACUUUGGAAUUCUAGCACUUUGGGUUAGUUUAGUUGGAAUUGAUGCACCCUUUGUCUUAAUUGUUUUAUUGUUGGUGCGUCAUGAAAAUUUUGAGGGAAAAAGUUAACCAUUUGAAAAUUGUCAUGCAUCUUGUUCCCUCUUUUCUUGUUCAUUGCAGCUUCUUCUUUGCUUUUUUUCCCCUCUAUGCAUCCCAUCAACUAGCAACUGUUUGGUUGGGAUGUGCAUGCCUGUCUGUUUGAGUGAUUUGGAUAAUAGGGCCCAUUUUGAAAUCUCAUAACCUCACUUUCCUUUGCUUAAUAUGAACCCAAAUCUUGAUGAAUGAAUCCCCUGUAUGAAUUGUCAACGCCUCCCCUGAUUUCAUGGGUUUUUUUUUGGCAGUUCUUUCUGUUUACAUGGAUGUUUUUGUUGAAAUUUUGGUGAAUGAUAAGAAUGUUUUUCGUUUCCAGCUGAUAAGAUCUAAAAUUCUAUAUUGAUUUUUGGACUUGAUAAUUAAAAUUUCUAUAUUGGAUUUACUGUUAUAAUGUCCAGAGAUUCUUGAAUAUGUUAGUUUAAUUGGCUGUUGAUUGAUAAAAUAAGUUUGGUCGGAGUUGUGAUUUGUUGGGUAUUUGAUAGUUGGCAUUGCUUGGUGUGAAUAUGUGAUAUAAUGGACGUGAUUCCCAGGAUUACAUCAGAAAGUUGUUUUGAUUUUGAAGCCACGCCUAUCACGAGCUUGCUCAUCUGAGCAUAAGCUUGUAUUUGUAAGGGCUUGCUGUGGCAAAUUAUGGGCAAAACAAAAUUACAAAACUUAAAACUGCAAGCUCUAUCAAAUCAUGAAUCUCCCUGGAAAACAGCUUUUUGAAUUCUUUCCUUAGCCCGCAUUGUUGGUGUUCUUAAGCCAAGCGCUUCUAGGAAACAUCGGACCUGGUAGAUCACUGAAUUGGUUGGUGUAGCUGCUUAGUAAAGUUCCAUCUCUGCUCCGAUUUUGCUAUUCCAAUAGCACUAGAGUUGCUGGACUCCUCUUUCUGCAUGAGUGGCGCUGAUGGAAUCUCAGUGCCAGGUGACUCUUUGUUAUUAAAACACAAGUUGUUCCCGCUCUUCCAGGGUCUCCAAAGGAGUGAAAUGGUAGAGAUUCUGCUGGGAUUGCUUUCUUAACCUGUAGGACUAUACUCCAACUCCUGUCAUAUCAACUCCUUGCAUCGAGUCUGUUCUCAGGCGCAGCGAGGAUGAAAACCAAACUUGCCUAGACAUGCUGUGUCGUUUGAAAUCACACGCCUAUGGCAAUAACUGGUAGCUUCAGCGAACUUGAUACUGAUGACUGAAUCCGCUGGCGUCCCAUUAAUUAGCGUUUAUCAGAGAAAAACUAUCAAUUUGAUGGGGACUGUCAAAAUAUAAUAGGAUUGGCGUUGAAUUUGCUAUUUCAUAUGCUUAUGUUGAUAUUAUUUAGUAUGUGUAUUUCAUAUAUUUUUCUAUGAAUGAAUA
rnacentral:misc_RNA from 1 species